UACGUAGGGUGCGAGCGUUGUCCGGAAUUACUGGGCGUAAAGAGCUCGUAGGUGGUUUGUCGCGUUGUUCGUGAAAACUCACAGCUCAACUGUGGGCGUGCGGGCGAUACGGGCAGACUGGAGUACUGCAGGGGAGACUGGAAUUCCUGGUGUAGCGGUGAAAUGCGCAGAUAUCAGGAGGAACACCGGUGGCGAAGGCGGGUCUCUGGGCCGAUAUCGACGCUGAGGAGCGAAAGCGUGGGGAGCGAACGGG
rnacentral:rRNA from 1 species